rnacentral:rRNA from 1 species
GACGAACGCUGGCGGCGUGCUUAACACAUGCAAGUCGAACGGAAAGGCCUCUUUCGGGGGGUACUCGAGUGGCGAACGGGUGAGUAACACGUGAGUAACCUGCCCUUGAUUUUGGGAUAACUUCAGGAAACUGGGGCUAAUACCGGAUAGGAGCUCCUGCUGCAUGGGGGGGGUUGGAAAGUUUCGGCGGUUGGGGAUGGACUCGCGGCUUAUCAGCUUGUUGGGUGGGUAGUGGCUUACCAAGGCUUUUACGGGUAGCCGGCCUGAGAGGGUGACCGGCGACAUUGGGGCUGAGAGACGGCCCAGACUCCUACGGGAGGCAGAAGUGGGGAAUAUUGCACAAUGGGUGGAAGCCUGAGGCAGCGACGCCGUGUGCGGGAUGACGGCCUUCGGGUUGUAAACCGCUUUCGCUCAUGACGAAGCUUUGUGUGACGGUAGUGGGUAAAGAAGCACCGGCUAACUACGUG